CCCUUAGAUGUCCGGGGCCGCACGCGCGCUACACUGAAGGAAUCAGCGUGGCUCUGUCCCUGGUCCGAAAGGAUUGGGAAACCCGUUGAAUCUCCUUCGUGAUAGGGAUUGGGGCUUGGAACUGUUCCCCAUGAACGAGGAAUUCCCAGUAAGCGCGAGUCAUAAGCUCGCGUUGAUUACGUCCCUGCCCUUUGUACACACCGCCCGUCGCUACUACCGAUUGAACGGUUUAGUGAGGGCAUCGGACUGGUCGCUUGCGUCCGACUGCUGAAACUUGAUUAAACCAUAUCAUUUAGAGGAAGGUGAAGUCGUAACA
rnacentral:rRNA from 1 species